ACAGCUUCUCAGCCUUUUGGCUUAGAUCAAGUGUAGAAACAGCCCUAUUAUCACCAUUUUCAAAGUGAGAUCUCUCCAGGGCUUGCUUAUGAAGGUUCAAUGCUGUAUCUGAGAUUCUGAGUCUAGUUUAAAAACAAAGCAAUGUUCU
rnacentral:snRNA from 1 species